rnacentral:lncRNA from 10 species
GUGAGUAAUAAAGCUGUUUAUUUCACCUGGGUGCAGGUGGGCUGAGUCCGAAAAGAGAGUCAGCGAAGGGAGAUGGGGUGGGGCCGUUUUACAGGAUUUGGGUAGGUAAAGGAAAAAGGGGGGUUGUUCUCUGGCAGGCAGGAGUGGGGGUCACAAGGUGCUCAGCAGGGGAGCUUUUGAGCCAGGAUGAGCCAGGAGAAGGAAUUUCACAAGAUAAUGCCAUCAGUUAAGGUAGGAACAGGCUAUUUUCAUUUCUUUUGUGGUGGAAUGUCAUCAGUUAAGGCAGGAACUGGCCAUCUGGAUGUGUACGUGCAGGUCACAGGGGAUAUGAUGGCUUAGCUUGGGCUCAGAGGCCUGACAUUCCUGUCUUCUUAUAUUAAUAAGAAAAAUAAAAUGAAAUAGUGGUAAAGUGUUGGGACGGCAAAAAUUGGGGGGAUGGUAUGGAGAGAUAAUGGGCGAUGUUUCUCAGGGCUGCUUCGAGUGGGAUUAGGGGCGGCGUGGGAACCUAGAGUGGGAGAGAUUAAGCUGAAGGAAGAUUUUGUGGUAAGGGGUGAUAUCGUGGGACUGUUAGAAGAAACAUUUGUCAUUUAGAAUUAUUGGUGAUGGCCUGGAUACGAUUUUGUAUGAAUUGAGAAACUAAACGGAAUAAGAGGAGGAGAAAAACAGGUAUUAAAGGUCUAAGAAUUGGGAGGACCCAGGACAUCUAAUUAGAGAGUGCCUAAGGAGAUUCAGCAUAGUCCUGCCAGCAAAGAUUAUUUGUUUACUUCAAGAGUUAAGAGUGGGAGUUUGGGGAUAGCACCAGGAGAUAUCAGCUGUGAUGGCUUGGAGAAACAGUGUAAACCGGCAGUGUAAACAAGAGCAGGGCAUGUAUGAGUAGUUGAGAACGGUGACUAGGAGUAUGACUAGACAAGAUAGUAGGGAUGACAAGUUUUUUGGGGCACAGUCUAAGUUGGUCUGGUGUCUGGAAUGAGACUGGGGCUUAAUAAAAAGGAGCGUCUAUACAGGAGCUCAAAUGGGCUGUACCCUGUAGCAUUCCGAGGACAGGCCUGAAUUCUGAGAAAAGAAAGAGGUAAAAGUAUUGUCUAUUCCUUUUUAAGUUGGUGGCUGAGCUUGGUGAGGUGUGUUUUUAAAAGACCUUUAGUCUGUUCUACUUUUCCUGAAGACUGAGGACUGUAAGGGAUAUAAAGAUUUCACGGAAUACCAAGAGCCUGAAAAACUGCUUGGCUGAUUUGACUAAUAAAGGCUGGUCUGUUAUCAAACUGCGUAGAGGUGGGAAGGCCAAACCGAGUAAUUGUGUCUGACAGAAGGGAAGAAAUGACCGUGGUGGCCUUCUUAGACCCUGUGGGAAAGGCCUCUACCUAUCCAGUGAAAGUGUCUAUCUAGACCAAGAGGUAUUUUAGUUUCCUGACUUGGGGCAUGUUGAGUAAAGCUAAUUUGCCAGUCCUAGGCGGGGGCAAAUCCUUGAGCUUGAUGUGUAGGGAAGGGAGGGGGCCUGAAUAAUCUCUGAGAAGUAGUAGAGUAGCAGAUGGAACACUGAGAAGUUAUUUCCUUGAGGAUAGAUUUCCACGAUGGAAAGGAAAUGAGAGGUUCUGAGAGGCGGGCUAGUGGCUUGUACUGUAGCAUAGCCUGCCUUUGCUGGUGUGUGGCGAUUAGGCCUGGUGGGACUUCCAUCAAUAAACCAAGUGUGAUCAGGGUGAGAAACAGGGAAGAAGGAAAUAUGGGGAAAUGGGGUGAACGUUAGGUGGAUCAGAGAGAUGCAGUCAUGAGGGUCAGGUGUGGUAUCAGGAAUAAUGUGGGAGGCUGGAUUGAAGUCCAGGCCAGGAACAAUGGUAACUGUGGGAGACUCAACAAAGAGUGAGUACAGCUGAAGGAGCCGGGAAGCAGAAAGUAUAUGCAUCAGGUGUGAGGAAGAAAAUAGAUUUUGGAAACUGAGAGCUGUAGAGGGUGAGUUGAGCAUAGUUUAUGAUUUUAAGGGCCUCUAAAAAUAUUAGGGUGGCAGCAGCCGCUGCAGGAGACAUGAUGGCCAGCCUAAAACAGUAAGGUCAAGUUGUUUGGACAAAAAGCCUACAGGACGCGAUCCUGGUCCCUGUGUAAGAAUUCCGACUCCACAGCCCUGCACUUCGGCUGUGUGUAAUGAAAAGGGUUGGGAUGAGUCAGGGAGAGCUAGAGUGGGGGCAGUCUCUAAAGCUGUCUUCAAGGAACGGAAAGAGGAGUGGGGAAAGGAUUUAGGAUCUAUGGGGUCAGCUAGGUUUCCUUUUGUGAAUUUAUAUAAUGGUUUUGUUAGGAUGGCAAAACCAGGUAUCCAAAGGCGAAAGUAUCCAACCAUGCCCAGGAAGGAAAGGAGUUGUUGUUUUGUAGAAGGGAUUGAGGUUUGGGAGAUUAGCCAGACACGAUCAGCAGGGAGAGCACAUGUGUUUUUAUGAGAAUUAUGCUGAGAUAGGUAACAGAUGAGGAAGAAAUUUGGGCUUGACUGAAGUAAUGGGGGCUGUCUGUGAAGCUUUGCGCCAGUACAGCCCAGGUAAUUUGCUGAGCUUGAUGGGUGUCAGGGUCAGUCCAGGUGAAAGCAAAGAGAGGCUGGGAUGAAGGGUGCAAAGGAAUAGUAAAGAAAGCAUGUUUAAGAUCCAGAACAGAAUAAUGGAUUGUGGAGGCAGGUAUUGAGGAUAGGAGAGUAUAUGGUGUUUGGCACCAUGGGAUGGAUAGACAAAACAAUUUGGUUGAUAAGGCAUAGAUCCUGAACUAACUUGUAAGGCUUGUCUGGUUUUAGGACAGGUAAAAUGGUGGAAUUGUAAGGAGAGUUUAUAGGCUUUAAAAGGCCAUGCUGUAGCAGUCGAGUGAUAACAGGCUUUAAUCCUUUCAAAGCAUGCUGUGGGAUGGGAUAUUGGCAUUGAGCGGGGUAAGGGUGAUUAGGCUUUAAUGAGAUGGUAAGGGGUGCAUGAUCGGUCGCCAAGGAGGGAGUAGAGGUAUCUUAUACUUGUGGGUUAAGGUAGGGGGAUACAAGAGGAGGACGCAAAGGAGGCUUUGGAUUGGGAAGAAGGGCGGCAAUGAGAUGUAGCUGUAAUCCAGGAAUAGUCAGGGAAGCAGAUAAUUUAGUUAAAGUGUCUCAGCCUAAUAAGGGAACUGGGCAGGUGGGGAUAACUAAAAAGGAGUGCUUAAAAGAGUGUUGUCUAAGUUGGCACCAGAGUUGGGGAGUUUUAAGAGGUUUAGAAGCCUGGCUGUCAAUACCCACAACAGUUAUGGAGGCAAGGGAAACAGGCCUUUGAAAAGAAGGUAAUGUGGAGUGGGUAGCCUCCGUAUUGAUUAAGAAGGGGACGGACUUACCCUCCACUGUGAGAGUUACCUAAACCUUGGCAUCUGUGAUGGUCUACAGGGCUUCCGAGGCGAUCGGGCAGCGUCAGUCUUCAGCCGCUAAGCCGAGAAGAUCUGGGAAGGAGUCAGUCAGAGAGCCUUGGGCCAGAGUUCCAGGGGCUCUGGGAGUGGCUGCCAGAGGAAGAUACUGAGGGUAAGAAGUUGAGCAGCCCCCUAGAAGUCACAGAUUUGAACUAUUUUUACUAGCAUUUUGGAGAUGAGAGAAAAGGAAAAAGUAGACUUUAUUCUUUUUACAUACUCAUGAUGAAGACUGGAUCAAGAUUUGAAAACAAGAACUGAGAAAAAAAUUGUUACAUUUUGAUCAUUAUGCUAUCCUAAAGUGUAAUCCAAGUAUGCUAAAAAUAGAGUACAUAUAGUUCUUAAAUCUGCUUUACCUUUUAAUUCAGGUAUUGAAUGGAUGUAGUUGUCUUUCUUUUUUUAUUUUCAGCUUUAUUGAGAUAUAAUUCACAAAUAAAAUUGUGUAUUUUACAGUGCACGACAUAAUCUUUUGCUAUACACACACAUUAUGAAAUAAUUACAAUCAAGCUUGUUAACAUAUCAUCUCACAUUGUUACCUUGUGUGUGUGGCGACAGUACUUAAAACCUACUCUCUCAGCAACUUCCAAGUAUACAAUACAGUAUUAUUAACUGUAGUCAUCAUGCUCUACUUACUCCUGAACUUACUCAUCAUUUUUUUCAAUUCAACUUUUAUUUAGAUACAUAUUCAGGUUUAUUACAUGAGUAUAUUGCACCCAGGUAGUGAGCAGAGUAGCCAAUAGGUAGUUUUUCAACCUAUACCCUCUUCUCUCCCUUCCC